GACGAACGCUGGCGGCGGGCUUAACACAUGCAAGUCGAACGAGGUCCAACUUGUAGCAAUACAAGGGAAGACCUAGUGGCGAACGGGUGAGGAACACGUGAGAAAUUUGCCCCGAACUCUGGGAUAACAGUUGGAAACGACUGCUAAUACCGGAUGCCGUUACGAAGUGGCAUCACUUUGUAACGAAAGAAUUUCGGUUCGGGAGAAUCUCGCGGCCUAUCAGCUUGUUGGUGAGGUAAUGGCUCACCAAGGCAACGACGGGUAGCUGGUCUGAGAGGAUGAUCAGCCACACUGGGACUGAGACACGGCCCAGACUCCUACGGGAGGCAGCAGUGGGGAAUCUUGUGCAAUGGACGAAAGUCUGACACAGCCACGCCGCGUGCGGGAAGAAGGCCUUCGGGUUGUAAACCGCUUUCAGCAGGAACGAAAAUGACGGUACCUGCAGAAGAAGAUGCGGCCAACUACGU
rnacentral:rRNA from 1 species